CUGCAAACUGGGGAGACGCACUGACUGACAUCUAGAGGCGAGUUUCUGAAUCUCUAAGCCACGCCCAUUCAACAUUCCAUUUCCUUACUGGCACGUCCCGUGUUUCGUAACUAUUACCGUCCAAAAUCAGGAAAUGCACUGCUAACCUGUUUCUAAGUAGUCAGAAAACGAGGCAAAAGGCACACAAAUGAGCUGAAGGGAGGGGUGAACCUAAAGGCCACCAGACCACAGAAGCCAGAGCCCCCCCAACAAACCUGAUCAUCUGAAGCGUGGAUGCAUCAUCGGAGUCAGCAUAGGUGGACCAGGAAAUGCCAUAGGUGGUGUUGCAUAUGGGUGCAUUGCUCCUGGUGGAAGUGCUCCAAUGAUGCCUUUAAAAUGUGCACAGAAAAUACUAUUACUUCCACUGUUAAUGAGAAAAGUGCUAAAGAAAGCAUAUUCAAGUCAAUAAAAUACACUGCUGAAAGUGACAAGAGAAUGAAUCUGGAAAUAAGUCUUUUAACAACCAUAAUAUACGCAAAACUUUAAAUAAGCUCUCAUGAACGAUUCACACUGCUUUUGCUGUAUGAGUACUUCUAAAAAUAUUCUGUUGUUACUGGAUACAUGAUUUUUAAA